rfam:Joostella marina DSM 19592 genomic scaffold Joomascaffold_1, whole genome shotgun sequence.
UAAGGUGGUUAUAGCGACGGGGCUCACCUCUUCCCAUUCCGAACAGAGCAGUUAAGCCCGCCAGCGCCGAUGGUACUACGUUUUCGUGGGAGAGUAGGUCGCCGCCUUCU